rnacentral:rRNA from 1 species
UACGUAGGGCGCAAGCGUUGUCCGGAAUUAUUGGGCGUAAAGAGCUCGUAGGUGGUUUGUCGCGUCUGCCGUGAAAGCCCGGGGCUUAACUCCGGGUCUGCGGUGGAUACGGGCAGACUAGAGGCAGGUAGGGGAGAACGGAAUUCCCGGUGUAGCGGUGAAAUGCGUAGAGAUCCCCAAGAACACCAGUUGCGAAGGCGGCUGACUGGACACAUAUUGACGCUGAGGCUCGAAAGCAUGGGGAGCAAACAGG